rnacentral:misc_RNA from 1 species
AAAUAAAUAAAUAAAUAAAUAAACGUACAGUACAAAAUGGGUAUAAAAUAUUAACCCAAUCAGCGUGUGAAACUUUGUCGAAGUUCAUGGAGCCGAUCAUACCAUAUCAAUGCUUAGUAACUUGUGGGCCCGACGGGAUUCUCUUAGGCUAGAGUAUAUGCUGGCCUCCAGGCUAGCAGAACCCUUGGGAAAGAGAAUCCUCCCAACGGCUACCACAUGCAGUGGCUGGCACCAGAUAAGUGACCGUUGGCGGGUCCCGGGGUCCACCCUUUUUAAAUAUAUAACCGUUAUACAACUUACCUUCAAAAAACCAAACUCUACCUCUCUCAUCAGACCAGAGAGCGGAACAAACCCAAGAAAACAACAACCAGGGCUUGAAAGGGUGGGUUAUUGCUUCCAUCGGUCCUUGUUUAUUUUUUUCAAGUGUGGAACUUAAUUUCUUGCGUUUUCUUCUUCUUUCUUUGAGUUUUUCUGUUUGGUGUGGUGCAGUUGAUUAAGCAUGACUGUUGAGGAAACUCAGGUGGUGGCUGAGGUUGUCAUUCCUCAAGAAGAGCCUAAAAAGGAUGUUGAAGAAAGCAAGAAAGAUGUCCAGGAGGAUUGCCAAGUGAAGGAAGUUGAAGAUGAUGAUAAUUCCAAGCCUAAGACUGUUCAGAAAAGCUCUUCUUACAAGGAAGAGAGCAACUUUCUUUCUGAUCUUAAGGAGUUUGAGAAAAAGGCCCUGAAUGAGCUCAAAUUGAAACUCGAAGAAGCCAUUGUUGGAAACAGUCUUUUCAAGAAAGAGGAGCUGAAGAAGAAAGAAAAGGAAAGGGAACUCUCAUUGGUGAAUAUGGAAGAGACAGAGAAGGAAAAAGAAGCCAAAGAAGGGGAAGGAGGUGAGAAACAAGUGCAGGAAGAAUCUGAAAAGAAUGAAGAAGGAGAUGAGAAGGAAAAGCCAAUACAAGAAUGUGAAGAAGAGAAGAAAACUGAGGUGGCUGUGGAAGAAAAUGGAGUAGAAAUUGACAAAGAUAUCUCCAUUUGGGGAAUCCCACUUUUGCCAAGCAACGGAGCAGAUGGCACCGAUGUGGUCCUCUUGAAAUUCUUGAGGGCUAGAGAGUUCAAAGUCAAUGAUGCUUUUGAGAUGCUAAAGAAGACCCUUCAAUGGAGAAAGGAAUCCAACAUCGACUCAAUCUUGGAUGAAGAUUUAGGAGUCGAUCUAAGCUCGGCCUUCUACAUGAAUGGGAUUGAUCGUGAACGUCACCCAGUGUGUUACAACGUUUAUGGGGUGUUUGGAAAUGAAGAGCUUUACACUAAGGCGUUUGGAACUGAGGAGAAUCGCAAACAGUUCUUAAGAUGGAGAUUCCAGUUGAUGGAAAAGGGUAUUAGAAAGCUUGAUUUGAAACCUGGUGGUGUCACAUCAUUGCUUCAAAUCAGUGAUCUAAAGAAUUCUCCUUCUCCAUCAAAGAAAGACCUCAGGAUUGCCAUGAACCAAGCUGUUGGGCUUUUGCAGGACAAUUACCCUGAAUUUGUUGCCAGAAAUAUAUUUAUAAAUGUUCCAUUCUGGUAUUAUGCUCUGAAUGCCCUCUUGUCUCCUUUCCUAACCCAAAGAAGCAAGAGCAAAUUUGUUAUUGCUCGUCCUGCCAAGGUCACAGAGACUUUACUCAAAUACAUCCCAGCAGAAGAAAUCCCUGUCCAAUAUGGUGGAUUCAAAAGGGAGAACGAUUUCGAGUUCUCAAAUGAAGAUGGUGGAGUUUCUGAGCUUGUCAUCAAAGCGGGAUCAACAGAAACCGUUGAGAUACCUGCAGCAGAGGUUGGAGCUACACUAAUCUGGGAUCUGACUGUUUUGGGCUGGGAAGUGAAUUACAAGGAGGAAUUUGUACCAAGUGAUGAAGGAUCUUACACCAUCAUCAUUUCAAAAGGAAAGAAAAUGAGUUCUUCUGAAGGACCAGUUCGAAACACUUUCAGGAACAAUGAACUUGGGAAAGUUGUCCUCACCAUCGAAAAUAGUUCGAGCAAGAAGAAAAGGGUUAUGUAUCGCUACAAGACCAAGAAGAGUGCUUCCAUCUGAAAUCCUUCCUAUGUAUAUCAUCUGUUUAUUGUAAUCCCUAUAUGAUUCUUUUUUCUCUGCAGGAAUGGGUAUAUGAUCAUCUGCUUUUGUUUAAUUUUCUUAAUUUCAUUGUUACACAUUGGUUUACACAAGUAAUAAAUUAAAGAUUGAUUUGAGUUAAAAA